rnacentral:rRNA from 1 species
AGGGUGUAAACGCUGCAGACUUGGUGUUGGAGGCCCUUUGGGGGCAUUCAGUGCCGGAGAGAAGUUGUUAAGUCUGCUACUUGGGGAGUACGUCCGCAAGGAUGAAACUUAAAGGAAUUGGCGGGGGAGCACCGCAACGGGAGGAGCGUGCGGUUUAAUUGGAUUCAACACCGUAAAACUCACCAGGGAAGACUGUUACAUGAAGGCCGAGAUGAAGACUCUGCUAGAUUUUCAGAGAGGAGGUGCAUGGCGUCAGUGA